GACGAACGCUGGCGGCGUGCCUAAUACAUGCAAGUCGAACGCAGUGGGGACGGGUGAGUAACACGUGGGUAACCUCCCAUCAGAGGGGAUAACACUUGGAAACAGGUGCUAAACCGAUACUGAUGGAUGGACCCGCGGUGCAUUAGCCUGUGGGUGGGGUAACGGCUCACCAAGGCCACGAGGCAUAGCCGACCUGAGAGGAUGAUCAGCCACACUGGAACUGAGACACGGCCCAGACUCCUACGGGAGGCAGCAGUGGGGAAUCUUCGACAAUGGACGAAAGUCUGACCGAGCAACGCCGCGUGAAUGAAGAAGGUUUUCGGAUCGUAAAACUCUUUUGUUAGGGAAGCGUUAUCCAACCAGAAAGCAACGGCUAACUACGUGCCAGCAGCCGCGGUAAUUC
rnacentral:rRNA from 1 species